rnacentral:rRNA from 1 species
UACGGAGGGUGCUAGCGAUGUUCGGAAUUACUGGGCGUAAAGAGCACGUAGGCUGAUUGGUCAGUUGGGGGUGAAAUCCCGGGGCUCAAUCUCGGAACUGCAUUCGAUACUGCCAGUCUUGAGUGCGAGAGAGGUGAGUGGAAUUCCUAGUGUAGAGGUGAAAUUCGUAGAUAUUAGGAAGAACACCAGUGGCGAAGGCGGCUCACUGGCUCGGUACUGACGAUGAGGUGCGAAAGCGUGGGGAGCAAACAGG